UGUUUUGCUUCUGAAUGUUUAUGCUUUCCAGCUAUGAGUGAAUACAUGAAAUAGCUCUUCUGUGCAGUGGGAAGCAACCUAACGAGCCUGAGCUACACUGAGGGCACUGGAGGAGUUUACAAAUGUGUGGAGAGCAUGUGCUGAGCAGCCCAGGGGAAACCACUCAAGGGAGUCCUCUGACAGAGCUGGGGACAGCACUGUGCCUGGAGCAGAACCGAAAAUCAACCUAAGCAAAAAAAGAGGCAUCUCAAUCUCCAUUGAAUGCAUUUCACAGGAAGCCAGAACAUGUUUUGGAUGGCAAAAUGGGAUAAGAGGAUUUACAUACUGGACACUGCAGUAAAAAGAGACUCAGAAGAAGAAUACAGCCAGUCUGCUGCUCUAUGGUCAAGGUUUGCUCUCUAGAGUUUCCUCAGUUAACCCAGGGACUGGCUUCCUACAGCUGGCUACCAGUUCAACACUUGAAGCACAGCUCAUCUUUAACAAAGUCCCAAGAUGAUGAAUGUGGUACCAAUCUCAGCCUGCAUGGGCAACACCAGCUCUG